UGCUGCAUGGUUCUCCAUCCCCUGUCUCCACUGAGACGGCAGACUGAAGGAUCAUGCCAGCACACUGUCCUUCAAACAAUGGUGUGCCUUACCUGGUGGCAAACCUUCUCUUCUCAUCUUCAUCCUGGUUUCUAGGGAAGCAGAAGAGCUCCCUAAGAAACUUCCUGUUGGAGGGAGGGACUCUACCUUCCCAAAAGUCACCUAAGAGACAUCUGCUGGAGAGAAGUGUCAAGAGUAGAUGAAGAAGAGACAGGGAAUGGUCAAUAAUUCGUGAAGCUCAUUGUCUGCUGGGAUGUUUGAUUUAUUUCAGGGCUAUUAUAUUACUGUCUUCUGAAGUAGGAAGAGAGCUGGGAAUUAAUUAAUAAAAUACCUGGCCACUUUCAAAGGUUACAAGUCUUGAUCUAAAUAUAAAUGACUGAGGUGUUGCAUGUGAUCCAGUCAUCCUCAUCCUUUAAAAUGUAAUGGAAAGAGACACACAUCCCCAAAGGCCAGAGAUCAGUUUCUGAGUCUUCUACUUGAGGAACAGAAACAUCUUCUACAGGUGUCUUCUUCAUCCAUCAAGGAUGGAAAAAAACCUGUAAAGAAAAGGAAUUGAAGGCCUUGAUGGACAAAAAAUUGACCAUGACACAGCAAUAUAGUCUUAUGGUAAAUAAGUCCAACAGCUUCCUGGCUGCAUAAGAAGAGUUUUACUACAUGUUGAGGGGUUGGAUCCUUCCUCUCUGUUCAGUACUGGUAAGACACAUCUGGAGUGCUGGGUCCAGUUCUGCGAUCACCAGUGCAGGAGGCAUGGACUUGCUGGAGUACAGUCUCGUUGGAGAACCAAGUUUUGGAAUAUCUGUCCUAAGAGGAGAGGCUAACAGAGAGAGUGGACUUUUUAUCCCAGGGAAGAGAAGGAUCAGGAGGAUCAUAUAAGUGUGCAUGAAUAACUGCUGAGGUGGAGACUAAAGUAAGUGGAGGUAGGAUGCCUCACCAGUGCCCAGUAAAAACACAGAGGGCAAUUGGCACAAAUUGAAAUACAGGAAAUUACAUUUAAACAUAAAAAUACCCCUAAACUCCAAUUCUUUUUUAAUCUCUAGAAGUGUUUGAAUACUGAAGAUUGUGCAGAAGAUUGUCUCUAUCCUUCCAGAUACUCAAACCCCAGUUGGAUAAAGCCAUGAGCAAUUUCACAGAAUCAUAAAAUCAUUAAAGGGGGAAAGACCUUCAAGAUCAUAAAGUUCAGACUUUGACCAAAUGAAACUGUAGACUUAAGUGCCAUGUCCAGCCAUUUCUUGAACAUUUCCAGGAAUGGUGACUCCAUCACUUCCCUGAGCAGUCUGUUCUAAUGCUUGACAACUUUCCUUUCUUUGAGCAGGAAGGUUGUAUUUAAUGAUCUCCAGAGCUGCCCUCCAGGCUCAACUAUUCUUCAAGUCUAUGAAAAUGCAGUGCCCGCAUGAAUGCUCUCACCAUAGUGGAAACUUUUUUACUAAACUGUUGUUUAGUGAUUUGUUUCAAAGAUGAUUCCUAGAUUCUUGGGAAGAAUUGAGUGAUGCCUAGUUUUCUUGUCCAACUAUUGGUUUACAACAGUAGACAAUGGUCUCUCUAUAGUCCAAAAAUUUGUGUUGAAGCAAAUGUAGACUAGAGUAGGUUGUGGCUGGAGAGGCUUAUAAACAAUAUUUUGUGAAAUAUGAAUAAAGCUUUUCAACACUAAAUCUCAGUUUUCUCAUUUGGAACCUAAGGAAGUAUGGUCUGUUAGAUGGAGUGG